rnacentral:other from 5 species
GUUCGCUGCCGCAUAGGCAGCUCAGAAA